GGGGAAUUUUGGACAAUGGGCGCAAGCCUGAUCCAGCCAUGCCGCGUGCGGGAAGAAGGCCUUCGGGUUGUAAACCGCUUUUGUCAGGGAAGAAAAGCUUUGAGUUAACACCUCAAAGUAAUGACGGUACCUGAAGAAUAAGCACCGGCUAACUACGUGCCAGCAGCCGCGGUAAUACGUAGGGUGCAAGCGUUAAUCGGAAUUACUGGGCGUAAAGCGUGCGUAGGCGGCUCUGUAAGACAGAUGUGAAAUCCCUGGGCUUAACCUAGGAACUGCAUUUGUGACUGCAUAGCUAGAGUGUGGUAGAGGGAGAUGGAAUUCCGCAUGUAGCAGUGAAAUGCGUAGAUAUGCGGAGGAACACCAAUGGCGAAGGCAAUCUCCUGGACCUGCACUGACGCUCAUGCACGAAAGCGUGGGGAGCAAA
rnacentral:rRNA from 1 species